GAUGAACGCUGGCGGCGUGCCUAAUACAUGCAAGUCGAGCGAACAGACGAGGAGCUUGCUCCUCUGACGUUAGCGGCGGACGGGUGAGUAACACGUGGAUAACCUACCUAUAAGACUGGGAUAACUUCGGGAAACCGGAGCUAAUACCGGAUAAUAUAUUGAACCGCAUGGUUCAAUAGUGAAAGACGGUUUUGCUGUCACUUAUAGAUGGAUCCGCGCCGCAUUAGCUAGUUGGUAAGGUAACGGCUUACCAAGGCGACGAUGCGUAGCCGACCUGAGAGGGUGAUCGGCCACACUGGAACUGAGACACGGUCCAGACUCCGACGGGAGGCAGCAGGAGGGAAUCUGCAGCAAUGGGCGAAAGCCUGACGGAGCAACGCCGCGGGAGUGAUGAAGGUCUUCGGAUCGUAAAACGCUGUUAUUAGGGAAGAACAAAUGUGUAAGUAACGAUGCACGUCUGGACGGUACCUAAUCAGAAAGCCACGGCUAACUACGU
rnacentral:rRNA from 1 species